rnacentral:rRNA from 1 species
UACGUAGGGGGCAAGCGUUGUCCGGAAUCAUUGGGCGUAAAGCGCGUGUAGGCGGCCCUGCAAGUCGGGUGUGAAAUCCCACGGCUCAACCGUGGAAGUGCAUUCGAAACUGCAGGGCUAGAGUCCUGGAGAGGAAGGUGGAAUGCUUGGUGUAGAGGUGAAAUUCGUAGAUAUCAAGCGGAACACCGGUGGCGAAGGCGGCCUUCUGGACAGUGACUGACGCUGAGACGCGAAAGCGUGGGGAGCAAACAGG